CGGGUUAUUCCCCUUUGGCCAAAAACAACAUGCUGUUAAUAGGGAAAUUCCAUAUUGCCUUUCACCGGCCUGAGAUUAUGUAUUCUCGGAAGGGUCUUUCCAAGAACAUGGACUUUCCAAGAACAGGGAGGCAUUUAGGGUCGCAUGAUAUUGAGAUGGGGGAAUUAUCUUCGCAGGGGAAAUCCCGACUGCAGGACUCUUCCAAGAAUCACAAUUCGGAGUAAUGUUUUGAUUGGCUGAAGCGCUUGUGCGGAAAUGUCCCCCCAACCUCGUUUUGUUUCUUUUGUUUAUUUUUUGAAGUGUCUUUUGUUUUCUUCUGGGCUUUUUGUUUUGUUGUGGAAGGUGGAAGUAGGUGUCAACACCUAGUAAAAGAAGGAAUGAACUCUCGCGUUCGAAAUCGACUCUCGAAGAACUAUCGCUCUUUUCGAAGAAACUCUAGAAAUCGCUCUUGGAACUCAAGAAACUCUCGAGGAACUCGCAAGAUAAAGGUUUCCCGUACAAGGACAUAAACCAGGUGAAAUCUUUCCGUUUAUUGAUGGAAUCUUGAUAUAGUCGAAGAAAUUCGGAAUAAAGGACCUCUUACAUUCUUGGACUCUACAUUAAUUAUUCGUUGCUUAUUUCGUUUGUUAGCUUUGAUAGAUUAUAAGAUUCUCGUUGCUUUUGAAUAUAUAUACAGUCCUCUUUAAUUAUAAGAUAAAUAUAUCUCUCGUUUUUUUUAGCCCUUGUUGGGCGUAUCUUACACGUAGAAUUAAAUGACGAGAACCAAUAAGUGUCUACGAAGUUCGAAAAGCGCUACCAUCUUGAAUUUAAACAAGGUAUUAAGGAUGUGAUGAAUGUGGAUGUUAGGUUAGGGCCUUAACGAAACACAUGUAAGUCCUUUCUAGUAUUGUCAACUAAAGUUGUCCUUAUGUUACUCAUAGUGUUAAUAACUUUGUUUAUCAAAUAAGGAAAAGUUUUUUCUUGAUCAUCCCAUGAGAGCUUGAAGAAACAAAUAUUUAAAUCAAGUAAAAAUCCCUCCCUGUGUCAAGAAUGGGUUUUUAGUGCUUCAGACAAGACAGUCAGGGGUAUGAAUUCAUCCGAAUGGAAAAAUUGCGAGGCCCUGAGUAUUUGCAGUCUUCCAUCGCCGAUAUGUCUUUUUGAAGACCAUCCUUAGAGCAGGUAUCAUCGGUAUCAUUUAUUCAUAGCUUUCCACUUUCCAUGCAAUUGGUUGAAUUUCAUUACCAGAACUGUGCUCUCUGCAUAGAACUAGACUUAAAAUAACAGCAGGAAUCUAAUCGGUAACCCUGGCGGGUUAUUGGGUCCCAAAAGAAGCAGCGCUAGCAAUCAAAUAUUUAUGACCGAGCAUGUCCCCGUAGCACUAGCCUGCGUGCAGACUUCACUUUCCUUUGCAAAGGCAGGCCCGUCGGGAACCGGGGGUUGGGGGGGGCUGGAGCCCCCCAAUAAUUGUCAGACUGUAGUAUAUUUCCUUUAUAACAGUGUACUAAAUGAGCAGCGCCCCCCCCCCCCCAAUAUGAAUUUCGUUCCGACGGCACUGGAAGGAGUGCCAGGAAGGAACUUGUAAUACCUAGACAAAGGCCAGAAUCAUUGCGCAAGGUCUCAGAACUCAAAACUGUUGAAAAUAUAUGAUUAUUACUAUGAUGACUCGUGUUAUAUUAAGUGAUUGACAUUUCGAACUGUUGUUGCUUUAACUUCCGGAUGCUUCACGCUGAGAAUAUGUUUUGUUGAACUCUAGAUUUUGAUUACUCGCAAUUCGGUUUUAACCUUUAACAUAUUAAGGUCUAAUUUUGCAUAUUUAGAGGUAUUUCGUGAUGCUCUUUGAGGUUAUGGGAAAAAUUUUAAAAUUCCUAAAAUAGAUUUUUGUGACGUCAUCACUUGACAACUCUAUUCCGCAGAUGCACGCUACACGCAGAAAAAACCAGUUCCGUCUUGGAACUCCUCCACAACGGAAAGUAAAGUCUGCACGUUGGCUACCGUAGCACCCAGAUUGGCCUGCACCUUUCGCAUACGUUUCUAGGUCUCUAUUUUACCGUGCCUUUCCACUUUUAGGUACGCCACAACGCGUCAGCUUUGGAUUCGCCUGAUGACAUUUUAGAAUUCCUUUUGGAAUUUCGUCUCUUGUCGAAAAAAGCUUCUUUUAUCAAGACCGGCUUUCUGUGAACAGAUGAUGAUGAUGACCUUUUUUCCCAGUGCACUUAUGUAUCAUUACAAGGAGCAAAAUUGUAGAUUCAAGAUCCAUUUUGAAAGCGAUAAAAAGAAUUGACGAAGCUGGCAUAAAAAACGAAUGCAUAGCUCAUAAUAUAAAGACAUCUAUAAGAAAAUUGACAUGUGAAGGGGCAACAUGGCGAGUCCACAGAAAAAUCCUUCAUUCCUCCAAACAAUAACUUCAAGCUCUCAAAACCUGCAUUGGUAAAACAGCGAAAAUAAGAUAGGGUUUGGGUGUCACAAUUUUUUUCAUUGACUAUCCUCAAUUUUAACAGUGUAACCGCCAUGUUUUUUGUGCUCUGUCAUCAAGGUUAAUCGAAGAAGAUCAGCAAACAUGAGGCAACCGUGACCGAGACCAUAAUGCCCAGGGGCGUCGUAGCUGGAGUUGGGGGGACACGUGCCCCCUAGCAUCGACCAUUCGGAGAUUUGUCGGAAAUUUCGCUUCUGUUCGGCUAAAGAAUAUUGGACAAUUUUAUAAAAAAAGAACGUUCAGAAAAUAACCAGCAUGGGAAGGAGAUUGUCAAGAAAAACGAAGACAAGAAAAGGUUUUUGACGACAGUCAAACUAUCUGGCCCAUUAAAUUGCAAAGUUUACAGCUUGCCUGUCAAAAUCGGUACAUUUGUAGAAGAUAAUUGCAACCUUACCUAUUGGCUCUACCAAAUAUGAGCAUACCUUUUCAAAGCUCAAGUUUGUAAAAAUAUAUGUUGAGCGUGACUAAGCUAAGCAUGCGCCAGAUGACGUUACUUUGUUUAAAAUCAGUUGUCACAAAAUUUGCGAGCUGUGCCUUCCCCUUAGAGUUACUACCCACGACGUCCCUGAAAAUGCCCUUGAACUGUAACAUCGGCCUUUACCUUCAUCCGUACGAAUGUUUCAUUUCUUUUUAUCGAUUCGAAAAUGAGGUUUUUCAUAAAAUCGGGAACCCCCAGGCUGGGAGCGGGUCUAAUUAAUAUAUUGACAACCCAAAGAUGUGCCGGCCAACAGAGUCAUUUUUGCGCUUAAAAUUCCGCGACAGCAUUAUACCCCAAGUACCUUUUUCCGGCACAGGAAUGCGUGUUGAAGAAACUUUUUCCAAGACUGCUCAGAUUUUUUAUGAAAACGAGAGUGUUGUCCACUUUAUGGAGUUUUUCUCUUAAAGCUCAAACUAGAUAUUCAAAAAGAGGUUAACUUUCCAUAUCAAUUCAAAAAGUGUAUCAUCAGUUAACUUAUGUUAAAGCAAACAAUUAGCUUCCUGACAGACAUCAUGUUUUCGGAGUUUUGUUCCAGGACAGGCCCAACAAAUUGUUCUGGCGGGCACAUCCCAGUCACUUUUCGCAAGGUAAACCCCCUGGAAAAAUCCAAAUCUCAACAGUCCAUUAUCGUGACAAAACAAAUAUACCGUACUUGAACGCAACAAAUGAUGCCGUCGUCAAUGAAAAUACCAGCUAUUUAUCAUGAAGCUUCAAUGAAGCAAUGACUUUGCUACCAAACAGGCCAAUUACUAAUGCACCUGCUUUAUUUCCAGGAACUUGUUGGCCCAGGAGGGGGGACACUUGGCACACAGACAUACGGGGGGGUCAGUCCGAUAUUUUUGGGUCAAAUUAUUGCCAAAAGUGAUAUUUUUGGGUUAAAUAUUUGUCAGAAAUGAUAUUUUUUGGUCCUGCGAAAAUAGUAGAUACAAUUAUGAUAUUUCUAGGUAUCAAAUUUAGAAACACUGAUAUUUUUGGGUAUUCGUGAGAUUUCCAUAUCCGAAUCAAAUGUAUUGUUCAUGGAUCUAAUUCGCUGAGGUUUAUUUUACCCACUUCAAAUCAUGUCGGGAGUCAUGUUACCAUACUCUUUGGAAAUUUUAAUGCAACUUUUUGUACUCACUGUAAACUUUAUAUGGCACGAGAUAUGCUAGAGAUAGUUUCAAUUGUUGUGAAUAUCCAAAUUGAACAUUUGCUCCAUGUGUGGUAAUGGCAACUGCAACUAUUUACGGCUUUUUUGAAUUGCAGAUCUUAUAAAUUACAGCUAUGUCAUAUUAUCUCACCCAAAAUUCCAAUUUGUGAUAUUUUUGGGUACAAGAUAUGAGUAAAACUGAUAUUUUUGGGUCUUAUUGAAAAUGAGCUGAUAUUUUUGGGUGGCCUUUAAAUUUCUUGGACUUACCCCCCCCCCCGUAUGUCUAUGUGCAGAGUGCCCCCCCCCCCUGGGCUCGUUGGAAGUAUCUUGCAAAAAGGAAAUGACAAAGAAAAACAGCAUCUUAACUCUCUCCUUUUAAUGCCUACAGACAAGGAAUUGGUUUACUAUUUUGGGAUUGGCUUCAACCUUCUUCCAGUAUGUAUAUACAUCUCCGGCCUUCUGAGCACUCCGCUUACCGCUUUUGAGGCAACAGAUCACAUCAACAGAACCCGGUUACAAUAUUCAACAACAAUAACCAAACUCAUACUUUCAACAAUUUCAGAUGGCAGAAAAUGAGUUUAUUUUCUUUAAAAUGUGCCCCCCCCCCCCUAUCCACGGGUCUAUGCAAUGACCAGCCGCACAGGCAGGCCUUGGCCCUAGCAGAGAAACACGAUGAUUUGCAUUUGAAAUUAUUUCUGUUUACUAUUAAAAAAUAGUUUUCCAACCAAGAGUAAAGCUUUUCUUAGAAACCUUAAAACACGUUCAAGAUGGAGCAUUUGAUGAAAGAAAAUAUAGUGCUCAUCAUAUUUAAUCCUCAUUAUUCAUUAGUUAAGCAUAUACGACAUGACAAAAACUUUGCAAGGGGAUUUAAAAAAACUGGAGCUUCAAUGUAACAUCACAAUAGUUGUAAAAUGCUUACUUGGCAAGCUGUUUCCACUACAUAAAGCAACGGCUACACAUUUUUCAAUUGCUACGACCUCGUCAAAUUCAGUCUAUACAUGUUUGUUGAUCUCUAAAGAAGAUAUCAACUACAUAAAUACAUGGAACGAAAGAAAGAGUCAAGUAGGAUAUUAGAUUAUGCCAUUUUACUAAUUUUUACUGAUUUUACAGGUUAACCUGAUUUUUAUUCUGAAUUUCAAGGAAUCAAUAGAAAAGGAGAGCUUUUGACGAUAACUAGCUAUUCGAAUUUUAUAACAGGAUAUUCUAACAAAACGGAUCUUUAUUUUAGGACUGCCAUAAUACACGAAUAAAAUGCUGUUGGUUUGCAAAGAAAAAACAACUUGGUUGCAUGCACAGUUGAAUCUGUCCAUAGGGUAGUUAAACUCGUUAUGUUUAAAACAGAGCUAACGAGUUAAAAUAUAAGAAUAAAAUAGAACUGCUUUGUAUACAGUAAAUAGUCGCAAAGUAGAACCUAAAAUUUAGAGCUCACAGACCAGCUUUCUUUGAUUAACAUCAUAAGGUUUUAUAUCAAAGGAUAUUGUCUCCUGAACCGUCAAUUGCUACAAGACACCCCUAUUGCCAGGCAUCAUCAACCAAUACAUGUUUUAGAUAUAAGCCUUGUGUAACAACCUUUAAACCUUCAACGCCAAUAGGCACAUUUAAAACAAGACCCGAGAACAACUUUUUGUAACUCAAUUUUGAAUAAUUAAGUCAUGCUUUGCCGGGGUAUACUGUCGGCUACCACUCAAAAGUGAAAACUUAUGGCAAAAAUAAUACCAACAUCUAAUUAUCAUUCUAGUCUUUAAGUGAGGCGAUAUCACAUCCCACGUUAUACUGAAAAUACAACAAACUUAAUUAUGUAGUAUUUAAUUAUGUUAAUUAUGUGCCUUUAUUUUAACUUGUGGCAAGAAUUCAUCGAUAAUCCGUCUCUUCUCACUAAGGAAAAUUGAUAAAACAAACAAUUAGACUGGCUAUAUCCGAAACAAUAUCAAAAUAAACUACACCUCGAAUACCCAUUGAUAAUAGAAAUUAACAUUGUUUUACUGAAAUAUUUUGCAAUAUGACGUCACGAAUACCUAAAAUAUGAUGGAUAUAUGGAAGCAGAACACGAUAUCAAUAGAUAUACGGUGCCAAUUGCUAUUCAUGUACCGCAAUAAAAACAAAACUUCUGGAUGAUUUUGCUUACAGUCUUUGUUACCAACAGCAAUGGCUUUGCUUACUGUUUGGCUUCAGGCCGAUAACUAAUGCAACCGCUUUAUUUCCAUGAAGUUCUUUAAAGUAUUUUGCAUGAUGAAAACCACAAAAGAAAAACUACAUCUUAGUUCCACGUUUUGCUCUCAAUGCCUACAGAUAGGGGAUAGGCUUAAACGUCUUCUAGUAUGUAUAUAUAUAUAUAUUACAGGUGCAUAUUUCCACCAAAGCACCUUUGGACUUUAUGACCUAAAGGCAUUUCUGUGCCCUACAAUAGACACGAAUGGUUGCUCUUUUCGAUUAAAAUUUCGUAACUAGAAGUUUUCACUUUACAAUUUUUCACAGCCAGAACUAUAGCGGAUUAUCUAGCCCUCUAUGCGAUUGAGACUGACAAAAAAUUUACAAUUUUGAAACCAUUUACAGGCAUUAAUCGUCGCCUAAAUCUUGUAAAUAUACCUUAAAGGAAAACUCACUUUGUAGAAGGAAGGUCUAUGCAGUAGGGUCAUCUGAGUGCCUUGAAUAUUGAAACAAUUGAAUUCCACGUCUUUUGAGAAUGAAGUGCAUCAGGGCGACCGUAAGAAGGACCGCAAUCACGAUAAAUGCGAUUGAUAUCGCCGCAACUGCUCCAGCAGCCAUUCCUGCCUUGCCUUUUUUAACACUAUUGGGGGGCUGUGGGUCUGGACCAUCGACAAACACAUCAUAAUAUGAAUCUUUCUGCGCUGGUAGUGACUUAACCUUGACUCCAGUAGCAUCUGCAACGGAUAAACAAAAUUUUGAGAAAAAUAAACAGAAAUGAACAUAAAAAAGGACACGCGCACCUCUUUAGUUGAUCUGGCUAAGAUCAUGCACUGACAUAACAUAAAUAAGAAAGCAACAAAACUACGUGCCAUAGAAUCCUUUAUGAAUGACCACAUGGUAGAUGGGAAAACCAGUAUCGUUAGAAGGCCUAUAGCUGUCACUAGGGAUAUUCUGAGACAGAGAGAAUAUACAUUAUAAAACUGGGGUGGAUUUACGGAAAGGCGACUACAGGGUUGCAGUCCCGUGUAUGCAAUCCGAUGAUUUCUAUACCCUUUUUGCGUCGCCCUGAUAUCUCAAACAAGCGGUAUAAAACUGACCUAUGACAUUAAUUUUCAAAAAGAGAUUGUUUUGCAGUGAAAUCGGAGCCAUCAAAAACAGGAGAAAAUGUACAGGGAUCAUGGUUGUUUCGCAUCAAAUAUAUCAAAUGACCACAUAUUGAUGGAGAUGCUCCGAAAGGCAUUCAAAACAUGUAGGGUGUCUGAGAGAAAGUGUAAUAGAGUUUAAAAUUUGUCGUUUGCCAAAAUUAGGGGUCUUCAAGUACAAUGACAGUCAGAGAAAAGGGGUCCAGUCUGUUUCUAAGGAUGAGCAUAAAGUUAUUGGUAUGCCUAGCUUGCAUCUGCAAAAAAUAUAUUUUUUCAACAUAUUUUCAACAACGGGAAAGUUUAUUACGGUGAACAUCGCAAAAAUACCACGAAAAUCAACAACAACAACAACAACAACAACAACAACAACAAAGUUUAAUCAAGGCACUGAGGGCUUUUCAAAGUGAACUGUGUAUCUUGGGACAAGGCUUGGGUGCAAUAAAAGAUGAAGGAAUAGGAUGAGGACAGGAAGAGCAAGCACAGGCACGUACAAGAACAUGAAAGUCAAGCAUGAAUAAAAUGUUAAAGUACCUUUCACAUUAACGAGAACCUUGAAUUUUCCAGAGGUGAUUGAAUCCCGUAUGCGGUCAACUGCAGUCUUCAAAGGUAGCUCGUGUUUCGGAUGCAGAACUAGGACCGAACCCUUGACAGGGGGAAGACCUAGCACAUAAACCCGGACGGCAACAACACCUCCAUAACCGGAUUUAAAAAUC